rnacentral:rRNA from 1 species
UACAGGGGGGGCAAGCGUUGUUCGGAAUUACUGGGCGUAAAGGGCUCGUAGGUGGCCAACUAAGUCAGACGUGAAAUCCCUCAGCUUAACUGGGGAACUGCGUCUGAUACUGGAUGGCUUGAGUUUGGGAGAGGGAUGCGGAAUUCCAGGUGUAGCGGUGAAAUGCGUAGAUAUCAGGAGGAACACCUGCGGUGUAGACAGCUUACUGGACCACUUCUGACGCUGAGACACGAAAGCGUGGGUAGCAAACAGG